rnacentral:rRNA from 1 species
UACAGAGGUCUCAAGCGUUUGUUCGGAUUCAUUGGGCGUAAAGGGUGCGUAGGUGGCGUCGUAAGUCGGGUGUGAAAUUUCGGAGCUUAACUCCGAAACUGCAUUCGAUACUGCGGUGCUUGAGGACUGGAGAGGAGACUGGAAUUUACGGUGUAGCAGUGAAAUGCGUAGAGAUCGUAAGGAAGACCAGUGGCGAAGGCGGGUCUCGUGGACAGUUC